UCUCGCAUGUGCGUUGCAGUAAAGCAUAUCUCGUGAUGGGAUCCUCAAAAAAUGUGGGGCGAUGCGUGCCUAUCAUUGUGAUUGCAUUAGUGUGUGAUGUUGUUGGGGUUGCUCUCCUUUUACUUGGGAUUUUUUCCCAUUUCAUAUAUUGGGAUUUUUUUAUUUAUACCGGAGCGAUCAUCUUAUCCCUGAGCCUCAUCUUUUGGAUAUUCUGGUACAGUGUCAACCUUGAAGUAUCUUAUGAAGAGCUGUGCUUAGCGUGAAACUUUUUUUUUUUUGACUUAUUGAAUUACAAGCAAUACUAGUUGAACUGUGAACGUUUCUAGAGUAAAGGAUUACCUGGAAAUAUCCCACCUGGAGAACAGAAGCUAUCCCGAGAGAUUUGAAUACAUGUCUCCUUAUUAAAAGGAACACAAGCUUGAAAGGUCAUGAAGAUAUGCACCAUUGAAAGAACUGACUACAAAUAAUGAAGAUAGAUACUUUUGCACUUAAUUAGCACUUUAUUGUGUGCAAUAUAACCAAAGGAGGCAUAAGGCUGCACAUUACAAGAUGUCCCUUUUUGGAGUUUACACAGCACAUGGAUACCUCUUCUCUGAAACCACUGAAACUAUGUAUUUCACAUAGAAUGAACAUUUAUGGACAAUUAUGGCUUUUCUGUUGGACUUUUGAGUAACACUGAUUUACAGUAAAUGUCCUCCAAUAUUUUUAAAUUGAGACCUCAAGUCUAAACCAUGAGAUCAUAAUCAGUUUGUUUUGUCCAUGUGCCAUACUAUUUGUAAAUGCAAUGCCAUUGUCACAACCAAAGAGGAAUUUAAAUACCACUGAUACUAUUCACAAAUGUUUACUGCUGUUCAGUGUAAUCUGCGUUUGAGGUGAAUUUGUUUUUAUAUGUGUGUGUGUUGUAUGUAUAUGUGUGUUUUUAUUGAUAUUGCUUGGAUGUAUAAUUGUUGUAUUGUUUAUUAUUGAGUAUUUAAAAAAUGAAUGUAACAUGAAUGCUACUGACCUAAAGAAAGGUAUGUUAAACACUUACAUUUCCAAUUCCAGCAGUGCAUUUUGUGAUUGUACUCAGUAAUCAUGACAAAGAUCUACAAUUUGAUGUUACAAAACCAUGGAUUAGCUUUAAACAUAGGAAACCAAUACUCUACCACCAUUGGUGGAGCAACAGGACAGCUUUCAGUCACUUGAGUGUUCCACAUCUGUUUUUUUACAUUCAGAAAGCACACUCAAACAACAUCAAAGUGUUGUUUGUGAAUGUAGCCAAAACACAGCGGGUUGUUUUCCUAAUUUUGUGCUUAUCGAGUAUUUAGACUUAUUAGACACAUGCAAAGUGUGCCUGGGGUAAAGUGCUUUUAACAGCAUUUCAACACAUAAACAUGUUGCAUUCUCUUGUUAUAUUGACUAUUAGUUUCUACCUGCAUCAUUGUCUGAUGUACCCAUCUGCUCAAUUGUUUGACUGUGAAUGGUAGGACAUUGAAUACAAUUUAAAAGCAUUUUUUUACAAUAUUUGUCAACGGGUGGAAACUGACAUCCACUUUUCAAUUAAAAUCUAUUUUUAAAUUCAACCAGUUUAAUAUCAGAGCUAGCUGUCAGAGCUAGCUGCUAGUUUCGUUUUGACCUCUUAAGAUUGCCAUCACUUUCAUUCACAACAAUCAAACAUUGUCAUUUAGAACCACCAUAUCAAACAUCUGGCUGGCACUUUACAAAAUACCAUUUUGGUUUCGGAUACCAUUAGGAAACCAUUCUUACCCAGAACAAGCCAUAGCAGAACCAUUAGCAGACCGCAGCAUUACCGGCAAUGGCAGCACAAUGGAUCUGGAGGAAGUAUUGCAUAGUCUUAAUACUGAGCAUUAGCACAGUGGUGCAAUAGUGGUACCAUUGAACUGCAAUAGAUUACCAGUGUUUAUUGGUACGUAAAUAUGAAAAUGUGACCCCAGUGGUACUGGUCUACCAUUGUACAGAAUCUUUGGAUUUCAAUGGUUGCCACUGUAUUGCUAUUGAAGAUAGACUGAAUCCUGGUUUUGAAUCCGUUUUCUUCUCAUUUGUCUUUGUGACAGAAAUACAAUGAGUUUUGGUUGUAAAUCUCUCUCCCGACCUGUGAGGGCGCUAUGCAGCGAAAGGAGAAGUCUUUGGACAGGCUGGCCUGACAGUUAUUUCCCUGGGCCGGGAAGUCGGUCAGUCUGGAAGAAGGCAAGACUGUGUUGCAGGAACAUAUUGACCCGGAAGGGAAACGACGUAGCAGCUGCAGAUAGAAGAGACAGCUGCACUCGUUUACCAAGGGGUCAUGUGUGAUAGCAUAAAGGGAACAGAGAAUCGCAAAUCUUUUCGUUCGCUUGGUUCGAGAUACAAGGAACAGGAAGGACUGGGAGAAACCCUUAAAAACUAGAAGGAUUUGUGAGUGUUUAUUUAUUUGUUUGUUGCUGUUAGUAAUUGUCUUUUGUUUUUGUAAAUCACUAGACAGCUAACACGUCUCCGGAGCUGUCGCCUUGGGCCAGCACUACCCGGAACAACACUACACCACAGUCACUGUAUAGUUGUUAUCACCCACCACGAGCACUACUGCACGGUUGCCAGGACUGGUGACCAUGUUAGUAUAUUGUGGGACGGAUAUUUGUGUUUAUUAUUUGGGACUGUAACCCUGUUGUUAUUUACUCCGUGCACUACACAUUGCUGUGUAUUGCCGGAUAUUAUUAUUUGGUCACCAGACCUGGAUACAAUUAAAAACUGUUUCAAACUAGA